CGCAGCUCGCCACGACCCUCCGCUUGUCAGUCAGCCUUUCUGGCCCGGUGCCCGUUUCAGUCAGGGCGGUUACCGCCGCCCGGUUGUACCCGUGCCGGAGCUCCCGCCUCAGCGCCCGGAGGCCGCCCGGUCUUUUCCUAGGUCCACAACACGAUGACAACGUUUCCUGAACCAGAUGGUGUUGAGAGUCACAGAGGUGGCCAGAGCACAGCUCCAGGGGGAUAAGGAGGUCACUUGUCUGUGCUGCUGCAUUUCCUGACUGUUGGGCAGUCAUGCUGAUGUUGCAGUCCCUCUGGGGUGCCUGACCCAGGUAUCCUCUGUGGUCCUUGGGAUCCAAAGGAGCAUCCAGGAAGGCCCCUGGACCUGUGCAUCACCCUGCCCCACUGGGUGCACAGCCUUUGAUGUGCUGUGACCACCAGUGACCUGGGGCCUCCCUGUCAGGAGCUGUCAGGUGUAGCUGCUGAAGGAGGUAGAAGCAGCAGGCAGCAGCAGAUCAGGGUAAGAGGAAGGAGAGUUCUCACCCAAGUGAUAGAAACAUGGACCUAGCGGAAGAAACAAGAAUUCAAAGAAUGAAAACCUUUAGUCUUCUUCCAGUGAAGGGUGUCAGCUGCCGGUUUCCAUUGUUUCCUGCCCAUUACCAGGUAAGGAAACUAUUCUAUAUUUCCACUUUGUUGAGUGCUGGAUUUUGUUAAAUGCCAUUACCACACCAUUGGACUUCUUUAUGGGUUUUGAUUUCUUCUGUUGUUUAAUAUAUUGACUUUUCUUUGUUGAAGCAAGCUUGCAUUCAUGGAAUACAGGCACUUGGUCAUAUUUAUUUUAUUUUAUGUUUAUUAUUUAUUGGUCAUGUGUUGCUGUUUUUGGUUUACUAAUAUCUUAUUGAAAAUUUUUGCAUUUGUAUUCAUCAAGAGUACUGGUUGUGGUUUUCCUUUCUCUGGUUGGUUCUCUGGCUCAGGAUCACAGUGGACUCUUUGAAGGAGCUUGGCAGUUUUCCCUGUUCUAUUUCUGGAAGAGUUUGAGAAGAAUUGGUGUUCAGCUCCCUUUUCCAGAAGAUAUUUUGGAAGCCCUUAGAAUGCUAGACUGUUUUUCUCCUGAAGUACUAGGAGGGUGUGUGUGUGUGUGUGUGUUGCCCUCUGGCUUGAAGCAUUUAUGGAAAGAAUGGGCUUUCGUUCUUUGCUCCUGGGAACAGCUCUCCCCACUCCCAGCUGCUUGUCAGCUUUGUGUUCAGUGAGUCCUUCCCAGCAGUUGCGUUCAGCUGUGUGUAGAAUGUUUUCUUCUCAGUUCUGUUGGGAUUCACCGAGCUUCUCCGACCUAGAGAUUUCAUCACAUUUGGAAAAAACUCCAGCUGGCAUUAACGUUUUCUCUGUCUUUCCUUGCAUCUCCUAUUAGACAUAGGUGAGGGCCCUUGACAUAGUCCAUGAAGUUCCUGAAAUCUCAAAGUCUUUUCCUAGGUUUGCUUUCUUUUCUUUUCUCUCUCUCUCUUUUUUUUUUUUUUUUUGACAGGCAGAGUGGACAGUGAGAGACAGAGAGAAAGGUCCUCCUUUGCGGUUGGUUCACCCUCCAAUUGCCGCUGCGGCCGGCGCACCGUGCUGAUCCGAUGGCAGGAGCCAGGUACUUAUCCUGGUCUCCCAUGGGGUGCAGGGCCCAAGUACUUGGGCCAUCCUCCUCUGCACUCCCGGGCCACAGCAGAGAGCUGGACUGGAAGAGGGGCAACCGGGACAGAAUCCGGGGCCCCGACCGGGACUAGAACCCGGUGUGCCGGCGCCGCAAGGUGGAGGAUUAGCCUAGUGAGCCAUGGCGCCGGCCUCUUUUUUUUUUUAAGAUGUAUUUAUUUAUUUGAAAGGCAGAGCUAUACAGAUACAGAGAGUGACACACAGAGAGAGUGGGAGAGGGUCUUCCAUCUGCUGGUUCAUUCCCCAAAUGGCCACAACGGCCAGAGCUGGACCAAUUCAGAGCCAGGAACCCAGAGAUUCUUCCAGGUUUCGCACAUGGGUGCAGAGGCCCAAGCACUUGGACCAUCUUUCACUGCUUUCCCAGGCCACAGCAGAGAGCUGGAUCGGAAGUAGAGCAUCUGGGUCCUGAACCAGUGCCCAUAUGGGAUGCUGCCACUGCAGGCAGUGGCUUUACCCACUAUGCCACAACGCUGGCCUCUUUUUCUUUGUUUUUUACAAUUGUUGUGUCUGUUGAACCAACUUAUUUGGGGCCGGCACCGCGGCUCACUAGGCUAAUCCUCCACCUUGCGGCACCGACACACAGGGUUCUAGUCCCAGUCAGGGCGCUGGAUUCUGUCC